rnacentral:rRNA from 1 species
UACGGGGGGGGCAAGCGUUGUUCGGAAUUACUGGGCGUAAAGGGCUGGUAGGCGGCCAACUAAGUCGGAUGUGAAAUCCCCAGGCUUAACCUGGGAACUGCAUCCGAUACUGGUCGGCUUGAAUCCGGGAGAGGGAUGCAGAAUUCCAGGUGUAGCGGUGAAAUGCGUAGAUAUCUGGAGUAAUACCGGUGGCGAAGGCGGCACCCUGGACCGGCAUUGACGCUGAACAGCGAAAGCGUGGGGAGCGAACAGG